GACAGAGGUGCCAAGCGUUAGGCGGAAUCACUGGGCUUAAAGCGUGUGUAGGUGGAUGCCUAAGUACCUUGUGAAAUCCCACGGCUCACCCGUGGAACUGCUGGGUAUACUGGGUGUCUUGAGCCACUUAGGGGUCGCUGGAACAAACGGUGGAGCGGUGAAAUGCGUAGAUAUCGUUUGGAACGCCAAUGGUGAAAACAGGCGACUGGGAGUGUGCUGACACUGAGACGCGAAAGCGUGGGGAGCGAACAGG
rnacentral:rRNA from 1 species